ensembl:lncRNA
AGGAAGGGCAUGUUGUGGGGCCAAAGCCUGCACAGGCCAGCCAGCUCCGGUGCUGUCAGCCGCUCUUUUCAUUUUGAAUCCUGUGAGGAGGCAGGAGGCAGCUGGCUGAUCCUCCGCAUGGGGAGUCAGAGCCACAGAGAACACAUCUGGCUUUCAGUCUCCUGUGUAAUUGGGGACAGGAUUGAAAUGGAUAAAUGAACCUCCCAGGGCAGAAUUAGGUUGACAUAAGACGGAUUGCAGUGCUGGAGAAGACUCUUGAGAGUCCCUUGGACAGCAAGGAGGUCACACCAGUCAAUCCUAAAGGAAAUCGACCCUGAAUGUUCAUUGGAAGGACUGAUGCGGAAGCUGAAGCUCCAAUACUUUAGCCAUGUGAUGCAAAGGGCCAACUCAUUGGAAAAGACCCUGAUCCUGGGAAAGAUUGAGGGCAAGAGGAGAUGGGGCGACAGAGGAUGAGAUAUUUGGAUGGCAUGCCAUGAUGGCAUCUUCAUGGACAUGAACCGAUGGACAUGAAUUUGAGCAAACUCUGGGAGAUCGUGGAGGAAGAGUCUGGUGUGCAGCAGUUGGUGCGUGUGUGCUCCGUCGUGUUUGACCACCAGGUUACUCUGUCCAAGGGAUUUUCCAGGCAAGAAUCCUGGGGUGGGUUGCCAUUUCUUUCUCUAGGGGAUAUUCCUAACCCAGGAAUCGAAGCUGUGUCUCUUGUGUCUCCUGCAUCGGCAGGCAGAUUCUUUACCAACUGUGCCACCUGGCCAUGCCAUGUGCUGCAAUCCUUGGGGUCGCACAGAGUCAGACACGACUUAAACAACUGAACAAAAACAAAGAUGGAUUCGCAGGAGAAAAGCAUACAGCUUUUUUAUUGUUACAUGGACUUGGGAGCUUUCACAGAAAAAAUGAAGACCCCCCUCCCCACCAUUCUAAAUGGAUAAAUAACAAGGUCCGGCUGUAUAGCACAGGGAGCUAUAUCCAAUCACCUGGGAUAGACAUGAUG